ACUCCACAUCCUGAGCAGUAUCUGAAAGAAAAACUAGGAAGCUGAGACGUAAAAUAUAUCCAUUACACUAAACAGUCUUCAGGUCAGAACUUACUGACUGGAGUCGCAAUCAUCAGAUGAUAAGCCAGCGAGGGAGAAACACCCAGACACAAAGGAACCCAUUGGAACAUGUACAACGGAAACUGAGGCAGCCCGCACCCAAAACCUCUGCAUUCACACGUCUGCAGCUUGUGUGCAGGCACUGGUGUUGCAUCCAGAAGAAGUGCCUAAGGAAGACCUCAUCCUCUCCACUGUCGACAAGAGGCAGAGGGGAAAACGUCCCUGAGCUAGUGUCUGGCUUCUCUGAUGAAGUGCUCCAGGUUCCAUCCCAAACACUCUCUGUCAAACCAACUGAAUUAUACAAACCAGCA